CCUACGGGUGGCAGCAGUGGGGAAUAUUGCACAAUGGGGGAAACCCUGAUGCAGCGACGCCGCGUGAGUGAAGAAGUAUUUCGGUAUGUAAAGCUCUAUCAGCAGGGAAGAAAAUGACGGUAUCUGACUAAGAAGCCCCGGCUAACUACGUGCCAGCAGCCGCGGUAAUACGGAGGGGGCAAGCGUUACCCGGAUUUACUGGGUGUAAAGGGAGCGUAGACGGGCAGGCAAGUCAGAUGUGAAAGCCCAGGGCUUAACCAUGGGACUGCAUUUGAAACUGCCGGUCUGGAGUACAGGAGAGGUAAGUGGAAUUCUUGGUGUAGCGGUAAAAUGCGUAGAGAUUAGGAGGAACACCAGUGGCGAAGGCGACUUACUAGACUAUAACUGACGUUGAUGCGCGAAAGCGUGGGGAGCAAACAGGAUUAGAUACCCGAGUAGUC
rnacentral:rRNA from 1 species